rnacentral:rRNA from 1 species
GUCGAGCGCGGGAAGCGAGCUGAUCCCUUCGGGGUGACGCUCGUGGAACGAGCGGCGGACGGGUGAGUAACACGUGGGCAACCUGCCUGUAAGACCGGAAUAACCCCGGGAAACCGGGGCUAAUGCCGGGUAAUACUUUCUUUCGCAUGAAGGAAAGUUGAAAGAUGGCUUCUUGCUAUCACUUACAGAUGGGCCCGCGGCGCAUUAGCUAGUUGGUGAGGUAACGGCUCACCAAGGCGACGAUGCGUAGCCGACCUGAGAGGGUGAUCGGCCACACUGGGACUGAGACACGGCCCAGACUCCUACGGGAGGCAGCAGUAGGGAAUCUUCCGCAAUGGACGAAAGUCUGACGGAGCAACGCCGCGUGAACGAUGAAGGUCUUCGGAUCGUAAAGUUCUGUUGUUAGGGAAGAACAAGUACCGUGCGAACAGAGCGGUACCUUGACGGUACCUAACGAGGAAGCCCCGGCUAACUACGUGCCAGCAGCCGCGGUAAUACGUAGGGGGCAAGCGUUGUCCGGAAUUAUUGGGCGUAAAGCGCGCGCAGGCGGUUCCUUAAGUCUGAUGUGAAAGCCCACGGCUCAACCGUGGAGGGUCAUUGGAAACUGGGGAACUUGAGGACAGAAGAGGAGAGUGGAAUUCCACGUGUAGCGGUGAAAUGCGUAGAUAUGUGGAGGAACACCAGUGGCGAA